GAUGAACGCUGGCGGCGUGCCUAAUACAUGCAAGUCGAGCGAACGGACGAGAAGCUUGCUUCUCUGAUGUUAGCGGCGGACGGGUGAGUAACACGUGGAUAACCUACCUAUAAGACUGGGAUAACUUCGGGAAACCGGAGCUAAUACCGGAUAAUAUUUUGAACCGCAUGGUUCAAAAGUGAAAGACGGUCUUGCUGUCACUUAUAGAUGGAUCCGCGCUGCAUUAGCUAGUUGGUAAGGUAACGGCUUACCAAGGCAACGAUGCAUAGCCGACCUGAGAGGGUUAUCGGCCACACUGGAACUGAGACACGGUCCAGACUCCUACGGGAGGCAGCAGUAGGGAAUCUUCCGCAAUGGGCGAAAGCCUGACGGAGCAACGCCGCGUGAGUGAUGAAGGUCUUCGGAUCGUAAAACUCUGUUAUUAGGGAAGAACAUAUGUGUAAGUAACUGUGCACAUCUUGACGGUACCUAAUCAGAAAGCCACGGCUAACUACGUG
rnacentral:rRNA from 1 species